GUUGGCAGCUGAAGUGUGUUGUAACAGUAUCUUUCUGUCAGCACAACACAAUGGAUUUGCUGAUUCCCGGGUUUUCGCAGUGUUCGCUGUUGCCAUCGGCUCAGAAGUUUCAAAAGUUCAUUUUCCAGGGGGCUGCAAAGCGAUCAUAAAUAAUGUACCAAAGGUUACUCCAGGCUUUUCUUCUCCUCAACUGUCCUGCAGCUGACAAAGUCGGUGCGGCGGUGCCAGCUAUAUUCCACGCACAAAAGGAGCCGUAAAUUCCUCGCGCUCGCCUUUUCUGGAGCUGCCUAAAGUUCAAGGAAUAAAGGGGGGACAGCUACGCCAGUGGCUUUUCAUGCUCUUCCAGGCAAGCAUGUGCUCUCCGUGAAGACGGGAACAUGCUAUGAGGAACAGUCCUGUUCAGGCAGAUGGUUUUGGGGCUACAAGGCAAAGAAGAAGCCAUGCAGGUGGUCUGAUAAAAAAAUCACUCCAAAAAACCUUGCCUCUUCUUGCAUAAUUCGUGGACCAUCGUGGCUACACCAUCACUUUAAGAUUACCAAGGACGACAAAUACAAAUACCCAGGAAUCCUGACUCCUAGUUGGGUACUUCAAGUACAACAAAGCAAAAUUCCUGGCAGAGCACAAAUGGUGGAAGAUACCCAUGAAGAGUUCGUUUGAAUAGAAAUUUACCUUAAGUGCUUUACAAGUACUCCGGGCCUCGGGUUCAUCCAGUUCCUUCUGCAUGAUCAUCCAGUCCCUCUUCAUAUUGGAAAUGACUUCCAACUCUGGGUCAUCACCAAAUGGAGAAGAGGGCCAGGAUUUCAAAAGGAUUCACUCUUUGUUGGCUUCGCUAAAUAAAAACCUGGCAUGGAGAUACUUCGGUGAUGGCACUCAGGAGGAUGAAGUACUGAGGGCAGGUCUGCGAGUCCGAAAUCCUACCUUCUUCCCCUGGCUUUUCACUGACGUGUUUUUUGGCACUGGGCAUGUCUUGGAAGUGCCUCUGCUGCCCUGUCUCUAAAACAAAGGUGAUGAUAACCCUCUGUUCCCUUCGCAGAGCACAUCCAGAUCUAGGGAUGGAAAGUACGAAUUACAUGGCCUGGUUUGCAUGUAUAGAAAGAAGGACUUUCAUGUGAUGCGGCAGAGCUUGUACAAAGCUGAAUCCCAUUCAUCAACAGGCACUGACAAGUCUUGAUGCUAAUACUCAGACUUCUCAGUGCCUUACCUAUCAGCUGCUCAGUGUUUACCCUCUGGCAUAUAUUUUCCUCAUUCGCUAUAUGCUAUUUCCAGUUGCUCUUAAUAUA